UACGUAGGGGGCAAGCGUUGUCCGGAAUUAUUGGGCGUAAAGAGCUCGUAGGCGGUGUGUCGCGUCGGCCGUGAAAACCUGCAGCUUAACUGUGGGCUUGCGGUCGAUACGGGCAUCACUGGAGUUCGGCAGGGGAGACUGGAAUUCCUGGUGUAGCGGUGAAAUGCGCAGAUAUCAGGAGGAACACCGGUGGCGAAGGCGGGUCUCUGGGCCGAUACUGACGCUGAGGAGCGAAAGCGUGGGGAGCGGACAGG
rnacentral:rRNA from 1 species